GGGGGUCACCAGUCAGUCAGUCAGUAGCAGUGUCCAUAGCAGACGAGCAGCAGCACAGAAGAGAUAAAUAAAAUAAUUUACCACAUUAACAUUACAGGUAGCAUUAGCCUCCAAGACAUUUACAUAAUGACUUACUGCGCUAAUAGCAGGUAGCAUUAAUAGCAGGUAGCAUUAGCCUCCAAGACAUUUACAUAAUGACUUACUGCGCUAAUAGCAGGUAGCAUUAAUAGCAGGUAGCAUUAAUAGCAGGUAGCAUUAAUAGCUGGUA